rnacentral:misc_RNA from 1 species
CAGAGUUGCAAGACUCCCUAAACCAUUGUGAACCUACCUUCUACCGUUGCUUCGGCGGGCGGGCCCAGCGCCCCCCCCGGCCCCCCGCGGGCGCCCGCCGGAGGAUAGCCAAACUCUUGACAUUAGUGGCCUCUCUGAGUAUUCUUUACUGAAUAAGUCA